UGAGAACUAAUUUAGUGUGUCAAGUUUCAAGCAGCUAGCACAAAUUAUAACUGAUUUGGAGUUCCAACUGAAUCUGUCCCGAUAGGGAAAAUUAAGUGAAACCUAAAAAUUCAAACUGUUCCUGCAAAUGAAUGCUUCAACCUAGAAGAAUAAAAUUUGGAGGGCCAAGUGCGACUGAAGUACUGAUCAUUACCACCAACUAUCACCAAGAUUGGGUGAAAAAAUAUUUGCUGGGAUUUCAGUAAACUCGAGUUCUGUGGAAGCUUGGCAAAUGCUUUCAAAUGAAAGUAUUCUUUCCUUUCAACUACUUAGGCCUACUUCAAAAGGUAACAAAUCUGAGAUAGUGAACUGAGAACUAAUUGAGUGUGUCAAGUUUCAAGCAGCUAGCACAAACUGUGUUUGAUUUAGAGUUCCAACUGCAUCUAUGCCUAUCAGGGGAAACAAAGUGAAAUCUAAAAAUUCAAUGUGUUCCUGCAAAUGAACACCUCAAUGUAGGAGUAUGAAAUUUGUACUUCUACAAAUGUCAAGUUUCAAGCAGCUAGUACAAACCGUGUUUGGUUUAGAGUUUCAACUGCAUUUAUUCUUAUAGGGGAAAACAAAGUGAAAUCUAAAAAUUCAAAGUGUCCGUGCAAACGAAUGCUUCAACCUAGAAGAACAAAAUUUGGAGGGCCAAGUUCAACUGAAGUACUGAUCAUUCCUGCCAAGUAUCAACAAGUUCAUUUGAAAAAAUAGUUGCUGAGAUUUUAGUAAACUUGGAGUUCUGUGGAAGCUUGAAAAACGCUUUCAAAUGAAAGUAUUUUUUCUCAACCUCUGCUUCAGGCUACUUCAAGAGGAAACAGAGCAUAGAGAGUGCAUUGAGAUCUAAUGAGUGUGUCAAGUUUCAAGCAGCUAGCACAAACCGUGUUUGAUUUAGAGUUCCAAAUGAGUGUAUAUUUAUGGGGAAAAUGAAAUGAAACUAAAAAUUCAAACUGUUCCUGCAAACGACCGGUUCAGCCUAGAAGAACAAAAUUUGGGAGGCAAAAUGCCACUGCAAUACCAAUUAUUCCUGCCAAGUAUCAAACAGAUUGGGUGACAAAAUAUUUGAGAUUUCAGUAAACUUGUAGUUCUGUGAAAGCAUUGCGAACACUUUCAAAUAAAAGGGAUUUUUCUUUGAAUAAUGAGUGCUUCUGCUUAGGGCUACUUCAAGAGGAAAGAAAGCAUAGAGAUCACACUGAGAACUAAUUUAGUGUGUCAAGUUUCAAGCAGCUAGCACAAACCUUGUUUGAUUUAGAGUUCCAAUUGCAUCUAUCUGUAUAGGGGAUAACAAAGUGAAACCUAAAAUUUCAAAAUGUAUCUGCAAAGGAACACUUCAACCUAGAAGAACGAAAUUUGAGGGGCCAAGUGCAACUGGAGUUCUGAUAAUUCCUGCCAAGAAUCAACAAAUCAGCCUCCAGGUGUGGGAGAACCAUUGUCACAGAAGUAAGGAUAGCUAAACUGGAGUUCUGGAUAUCAGCUGUUAUGGAUAUGAGCCAAAUCAUCGUCUUUUUGGUUUGUAGAAAUCUCUUUAGUUAGUCUCUCUGGAAUCCAAAUAGGCUGCUGUUCUUCCUGUGGAAACACACAUAGAGACCCCCGGCUCCAGACAAUCACUGGGUCAGGACCUUUCCAUUGUCCAGUCAGAAUAUCUUGCCAAAGUACCUUGGGCUUAUGUACAUUUUUUGGACACAUGUGCCUUUCUGCAUCACUGAGCCCUGAUAAAUCCAAAUUGAAAAAAUUUAAAGUAAAAAUGGUUAUGUUAAGUUUAUCUUUGGGGGAUAUAUACCCUUUCCCAAAUCCUUCUUUUUGUUUUAGUAAGUACAUUUUAAUAGUUUGUUGAGCUCUUUCAACUAUACCUUGUCCCUGUGGAUUAUACGGAAUUCCUGUUAUAUGAGUAAUGCCAAAUGAUGAGCAAAAUUGCUUAAAAGAAGUAGAAGUAUAGAGAGGGCCAUUAUCUGUUUUUAACUGUUUUGGAAUGCCCACAGUGGUAAAGUUUUGUAAACAAUGAGAUAUAAUAUCUUUAGAUUUUUCUCCACCAUGAAGGGAGCCCAUCAAAUAUCCAGAAGAAGUAUCAAAUUUAACAUGCAAAUCUUUUAAUUUUCCAAAUUCUGGCAAAUGUGUGACAUCCAUUUGCCAUAUAUGAUUAGGUAUCAGUCCUCUCGGAUUGAUUCCAAGAUUAACUUGUGGUAAAAAUGUCACACAAUUUUGACAUUGUUUUACUAUUUGUCUAGCUUGUUCCUUAGUUACUUUAAAAUGCUUUUGUAAAGUACUAGCAUUGACAUGGAAGGAUUUAUGAAAAUUUGUUGCUGCUUCUAGUAUUGAAAAAAACAUAUAUGUCAUGUGUAGUUUUAUCUGCUAAAUCAUUGCCUGAACUAAGGGCUCCAGGCAAUCCUAUAUGUGCCCUGAUAUAUCCUAUGAAAAAUGGAUCUUUUCUGUCCCAAAUUAGACUUUGUAUAGUGAAAAACACAGAGAAAACUGCUGGGAGCCAUUAGCCAAGUAGGUAUGACAAUUUCCUUGCCAGCGUACCCCAUGUUGCUGACAUUUUGCAGUGACAUUGAAUGUAGGUGACCUUGCUCAAGGACCAGGGCGGAUUAGGGUGUUCCCGGUUUAAGAUAAUCAGGUUUAGGGCGUUCCCAGUUUAGGUUCCAGGUUUAAGGUUUAAGAUUAUUCCUGCUGGGAAUAGGGCAUAUCCUGCUGCCUGAGUUCCCCUUGAGUUCUCACGGGAUUCAGACAGUAUUUUUUGGGAGACAGAAGCCCAGUGGAUGUGGAUUUGGGCAGAGAACGUGGAUUUCCCCAGAACGUGAUUGUAGACGGCUGGUGUGAGAUCGGGAAUAAAGAGUUGCUGUUUGAAUCUACAAGCUGUGUGGUGGCUCGUAAUUGUGUGCCCAGCCAGACUGCAGCAUUUGUGCCCAGCCAGACUGCGGCAGAAAACAGUAGAGGAAUGGGAAAUCCUACCAGCAUAUUCAAGGGAUAUUAUAGCAUUAACUAUAUAUUGACUGUCAGAAACUAAAUUAAAUACAGAAUCUUUAAACAUCACAAAAGCUUGUAAUACUGCAUUAAGCUCUACCUUUUGAGCUGAUUGUUUCAGUAGUAAAAAUGUAAAAGCUUGAGCAGAGGUAACUACUGCUGCUGUACCAUUAUAUGACCCAUCAGUAAAUAUUAUUGGAGCAUUCA